UUGCUUUGGCAGCAGAUAUGCAAAAAUUGGAAUGAUACGGAGAAGCUUAGCAUAGCCCUCAGGCAAGAAUAUCAUGUAAAUUUGUGAAGUGUUCUAUAUUUUU